rnacentral:lncRNA from 1 species
CAGGCAGGGAGGCCGGCCUUUGCCACCCGGGGCUAAGCUCCUGGAGGGGAGGGGGCAGAGGAUCAACAGGGAACAGGAAAGCAGGGGGCACCUGCGUCCAGUCCUGAGGAGGCCGGGAGCUGGCGCUGGCCAGUCGCUCCUGCCCAGCACAGUAAAAGGAGACAGAAAGCGGGCAGGGGAGGAAGGCUUUUUGAAGUGGGCCCGUAACUACCAAUUACAGAGAGUGCCGGAAUCUUGAUGCAAAUGCCUGAGACGCCAGAAGGUUCGAAUCCCCUUUGGAGAUCAGAAUCGCAGCUAACAGGAUUGAGACGGCACCUGUGUUCAGAGGCGACAGAAUCCUGGCCGCAAAGGCUGCCUUCACCUCUUCUGAGUUUCGGUAUGUGGGACGGUUAUUUAAUCUCUCCGAGCCUCAGUUUCCCACCUGUGUAGAAAGGGAUUAGCUGUCCCUCUCUCGGGAGCUCGACGGGAUCCCGUGUCGAAAGUCCCCCACCAGCCUCGCCCAGCUGCUUAGCUCCUGAGCCAGGAGGAGAACAGGGUGGUCCAGAGAGGAGUUCUGGUCCCCAGAAUCCUGCCACGAGUGGGCAAAGAGCCCCGGACGGAAAAGGAAGGGUAAGCUCUGUGUUUCUUGCUGCAUUAUUUGCUCUGGCCAAGAUAUGGGAAGCAACCUGAAAUCUGAAGGCACCGCCCAUGAUCGUGACACCUGCCUCGAAGUGAGAUGAUGGUGUGGAUUCGUAAUCAGCCUGUAGAGACCGCCACGACACGCCAAACGCUAGCCUCUCAUCCACAAUCCCAGGCUGACCUCGUUCCCCCCCCCCCCCCCCCCGUCCCCAAAGCCCCGGUGGGGACCAGUUAAGACACAAGCUCCCACUGAAAGCUCCAUUAGACCAAGGUCAGAAAGCUACCUCUUCACGUCUGAGCAGCCCUGGGCCACUGCAGACAGGAUAGUAAUUAGGUGCACAGGGAACCUCGGGGAACAGCGAGAGCCCUCCGUUUCCUAAUUCAGGGAGACCAGCAACCCGGAAAGUCUGAGAGGCCCUUGGACCGGCCACAGCCUUGUCAUGGGGACCCGCUUUCCUUUGCUGCCAUCUUGUGGUCGAAUUUCGGAAUAAAAGCCUGAACGGUGGGAGGGGUGCUC